rnacentral:rRNA from 1 species
CACGCCCUAAACGAUGUCAACUGGUUGUUGGGUCUUCACUGACUCAGUAACGAAGCUAACGCGUGAAGUUGACCGCCUGGGGAGUNACGCGAAAAACCUUACCCACCUUUGACAUGUACGGAACUUGCCAGAGAUGGCUUGGUGCUCGAAAGAGAACCGUAACACAGGUGC